AACAGGGGUGAUGGCAGUGACCACACCAUUUCAUCUCGUCUCUACUGCGAUGAAAGAACAACCUGGGCUAUCCUAAUGGUUGGUUUCACCCCAGGAAAUUCAGCCAAAUCUCAUCUUUGUCUUUUGUAGUGAAUUCCACAAGAGUGGGACUCAUGGUGGCUAUACAAGCCAGUAAACAAGGCGUUGCUUGUGACAUAUCUGACCCAUCAGUGACCACGGCCAGCCCCUGAAGCUCCAGUCAUGAAGGCCCUGUACGUCAUGUCCAGCGCCAUCUGUCUGUGCUGCCCAUGGCUGUGAUGGGUGCUGCUACCUCAUGUCCCCUCAAAUUGCCAGGCAUCCAAGCUUCUCCUCCUCCACCAGCUCUCCACUGGCUCCAACACCUUUGCCACCUCCCAUGUCGUGUGGUGGAAAUGCAUGGUGCUGGGGUGGGCCCAAACUCCCACCCUGACAGCAGGCACAUUUCCAAAACCUCUGCUCACUUCCUCAUCCUGCUGGCUCAUGAGAAGAUCCUGUUGUCAGCACAGCAGAGGUGGGAUUGUUACAGGCAGCUGGAAAACAGCAGGGGAAUAAGCAUUUCCCCCUUUGGCUGUUAUUUCUUGAGAAAUGCUGUCUGGUGAGUGUUUAGUCAGGGCCUGAUCCACUGAUGGAGCAUCUGGGGAAAGGACCCAGUCAGCCCUGGGAGCACAGGUGAGGGCAGUUCAGUUGUAUGAUGGAAUGAGGGGAGCCUGGCUGCACCUCUCUUAGACCUCAUUGAAGGGCUGACCCUGCAGUGGGCAAGGAUCUCUGGUUGGAGAUCCCUCCCUUGUGGAGUUUUCCCUGUGAGCCUGGAUCUUCAGAGACAGGUGAGCACUUUGUCUUUGUAACACCCUUCUGUUGCGCUAGUCCCUUUGUGGUUACACCUCCUUCCACUGCAUUGAUCAUUCUGAUUGUUACAGACCUCCUCUGCCCCUUCCCACCUGUAAAGCAAACAAGGUGAUGACAGAGCCUUUAUUUGAGAUAUAGGUGCUAUAGAACAGGAUAUCAAAGAAAGAGGAAUCGACUCAUCCCUCCCAGCAGCAGUUUGGCAGAAAGUGGUGAGCUGAGGAAUGCAGCCCUUCUGCGUUUGAACUAUGGUGUGCUGAAAGGUGAAAGGGGGCUGAGGGGUGAGGGGAGGAGACCUGUGCAGGCUGACUGUAUGUGUGCUGCUGGGAGCACUGCUGAGAUGGAGAGAGAGGAAGACUCCCCCCACUUGAGGUACUCGUGUGCUCGUGCAGUGGUUCAGGCUGUGACCUGGCAAUUCCACUGCACCACCCGUCCUGCACUGUCCAUGUGCCACCUGCAGAUGUUGCCCAGCUGUUGGGCAACUCGCUGUGACCUCCCUGUCUCACUGCUGCCUUGUGCACUGGACUUCACAGCAUCUUGAUGGUGAGUAGUGGUCCUCUGGAGAUGCUGAGCAACAGUUGUGAGCUGCACCCUUUUCCUGGACCAGUAUCCCAAGCCCUUCUCAGCCCAGAGCUUGUCUCUCUUUCCCUGGGGUUCUAUGGAUAAGUCAGCAAGAUGGGACUUUACCAGCCAGGUGGUUUCAGCUUCACCACCCAAAUGACAGCAGGGCAGUCCUGCAGCUCAUGGCAGCCCUACAGCUCUGCUCCUUUGCCAGGCUGGAGAGCUGAAUCAGCUCCGAUUCUACAGAUCCUUCCCUGAGUCCUGCUUCUAACCACCGAUACUUCUGCAUCCUCUAGGCCACAUCAGGACUGGAAAGAGGAGUAGAUAUCAGGCGGAAGGAUCUGGCCUUCUGCUGGGUGAUAGCCACCUGCGUGGCCUGUUCCUGCUUUCUCUUUUCCCCAGGUGGCAUUGUGCUUCCCAAGGAGUGCAUGGACCUUUCUGAUGGGAGUGAGCAGCAAGGAACCGACUGAAUCAUAGAAUUGCAAGGUUGGAAACGACCUGUAAGAGUCUCAGCUAUAGAGGUCCUAUAAGGGUCUCAGCUUCCUUCCUGCCCUGCGCUUGACUGAGGGACCCUGCGACCAGCUCAGGAGUGGCUCAGUGGGACCUUGCAGAGGCAAAAAGCAGCUGGGGAUGUGCUCUACAGUUCUGUGCUGGUUUGCAGGUUCCUCAGGAGUGGU